rnacentral:ncRNA from 1 species
CAGAGUAGGAAUGACGCGUAAAGUGCCGCGAAAUGGGAGGUCGUUCGCGGACGAAAGGGCGAAGAUCCGGCGAGACGCCGAAAAAGCCCUGCGGUGUCAUUCCGCAUCCGCUGC